GCUUUGACACGUGGCUUUCAUUAGGGUGAAGCAGUAGUCCCAAUCUUCCAAAUGCACGCCAUUUUGCCUUGAAUAAAAUCUUUUGGAAUGGCUCUUCUAAUGGUUUAUUCUCUAUGAGAAGUGCAUAUCACUUGGGGCUGGAUUUACUGAAAAAGCAAAAAGGGGAAUGUUCUUUCAGGGGAAUCAAUGCUGAUUUUUGGAAAAACUUUAGUCUCUUAAAGUUCCUAAUUCCUCCAAGAUUUUUCUUUGGAGAGCUUGCCAGAAUUUGCUUCCUACUAAUCAAAAUCUAAAGAAGAAAUAUGUGUUGAAUGAUGACUUAUGCCCUUGUUGUAAAUUUCAGGAGGAAUCCACCCUUCAUGCUCUAUGGAGCUGUCCAGGUGCCCAGGAUGUUUGGGGGAGUGGCUCUUUGGCUUUUCAAAAAUGUCCCUCUUUCUUUCCUGGCAUGAGAAUCUCUUAGGCGCCAUAAGGAGUACUGGUCAACCCUAAAGAAGAAUGAAUUGGUGAGGCAGUCCCACCCCAGCUCCCUUAUUAGUAGCAAAUUUUGGAAAUGCCCAAACCUUGGGUAUAUUAAAGUUAAUUGGGAUGCCUCUUUAAAUGUUAGAAAAUGUGUUAUUGGUUUGGGUUGUGUAAUUAGAAAUUCUGAUGGAGUGAUUGUGGGGGCUAAAUGUUAUGCUUGUAAGGCAGAAGCUACUCUGUAUGGCUGCCUAUUCAGCUUUGAUUUUCUGCAAAAACAUGGGUUUCUCUAGGAUUAUAUGUGAAGGUGACUCCCUUCAAGUGGUCAAAGCUAUUUGUGACCCAAACUCCUCUUUUGUUAAAAUUGGGCACUUUGUAGAUGCUAUUAGAAAGGAAGCUUCUGAUUUA